rnacentral:rRNA from 1 species
CAUUCGAAACUGGCAGGCUAGAGUCUUGUAGAGGGGGGUAGAAUUCCAGGUGUAGCGGUGAAAUGCGUAGAGAUCUGGAGGAAUACCGGUGGCGAAGGCGGCCCCCUGGACAAAGACUGACGCUCAGGUGCGAAAGCGUGGGGAGCAAACAGGAUUAGAUACCCUGGUAGUCCACGCCGUAAACGAUGUCGACUUGGAGGUUGUGCCCUUGAGGCGUGGCUUCCGGAGCUAACGCGUUAAGUCGACCGCCUGGGGAGUACGGCCGCAAGGUUAAAACUCAAAUGAAUUGACGGGGGCCCGCACAAGCGGUGGAGCAUGUGGUUUAAUUCGAUGCAACGCGAAGAACCUUACCUACUC